rnacentral:rRNA from 1 species
GGAGGAAAAGAAACUAACANGGAUUNCCNUAGUAACUGCGAGUGAAGCGGGAAAAGCUCAAAUUUAAAAUCUGGCGGCUCUGUCGUCCGAGUUGUAAUCUGGAGAAGCGUUUUCUGUGCUGGACCGUGUAAAAGUCUCUUGGAACAGAGCGUCAUAGAGGGUGAGAAUCCCGUCUUUGACACGGACUACCAGUGCUUUGUGAUACGCUCUCGAAGAGUCGCGUUGUUUGGGNAUGCAGCGCAAAAUGGGUGGUAUAUUCCAUCUAAAGCUAAAUAUUGGCGAGAGACCGAUAGCGAACAAGUACCGUGAGGGAAAGAUGAAAAGCACUUUGGAAAGAGAGUUAAACAGUCCGUGAAAUUGUUGAAAGGGAAACGCUUGAAGUCAGUCGCGUUGUGCAGGACUCAGCCUGGCAUUUUUGCUUGGUGUAUUUCCUGUAGGACGGGCCAGCAUCAAUUUUGACUGUUGGAUAAAGUACGAGGGAAUGUGGCACCUCCGGGUGUGUUAUAGCCCUUGUGCGCAUGCAAUAGUUGGGAUUGAGGUUCGCAGCACGCCUUUAUGGCCGGGGUUCGCCCACGUUCGUGCUUAGGNUGCUGGCAUAAUGGCUUUAAACGACCCGUCUUGAAACACGGACCAAGGAGUCUAACAUGCCCGCGAGUGUUUGGGUGUUAAACCCAUGCGCGUAAUGAAAGUGAAAGUUGAGACCCCUGUCAUGGGGGGCAUCGACGCCCGGUCUUGAGCUCUGGCGACGGAUCCGAGGUUGAGCGUGUAUGUUGGGACCCGAAAGAUGGUGAACUAUGCCUGAAUAGGGUGAAGCCAGAGGAANCUCUGGUGGAGGCUCGUAGCGAUUCUGACGUGCAAAUCGAUCGUCAAAUUUG